rnacentral:rRNA from 1 species
GACGAACGCUGGCGGCGUGCUUAACACAUGCAAGUCGAACGGAAAGGCCCUGCUUUUGUGGGGUGCUCGAGUGGCGAACGGGUGAGUAACACGUGAGUAACCUGCCCUUGACUUUGGGAUAACUUCAGGAAACUGGGGCUAAUACCGGAUAGGAGCUCCUGCUGCAUGGGGGGGGUUGGAAAGUUUCGGCGGUUGGGGAUGGACUCGCGGCUUAUCAGCUUGUUGGGGGGGUAGUGGAUUACCAAGGCUUUGACGGGUAGCCGGCCUGAGAGGGUGACCGGCCACAUUGGGACUGAGAUACGGCCCAGACUGCAACGGGCGGCAGCAGUGGGGAAUAUUGCACAAUGGGCGGAAGCCUGAUGCAGCAACGCCGUGUGCGGGAUGACGUCCUUCGGGUUGUAAACCGCUUUCGCCUGUGACGAAGCGUGAGUGACGGUAAUGGGUAAAGAAGCACCGGCUAACUACGUG